rnacentral:pre_miRNA from 1 species
UGACGUAAAACGUGUGUGACGCAAGCCAGUGUGUGGUAUAUAUGUGUGUGG